rnacentral:lncRNA from 1 species
AAAGAUUUUGUCGCAAAGGGUUCUCUGAAUAAGUUCACAAAUUACCUAGCUAACGCAACUUAUACAACAGAUGUGUAUUAUGUUGCAACAGAAUACCCAGAUGAUGCAACAGAUUACACAUCUAUUGCGUAGCUUCUUCUUUAUGGAGUAGAUAGGAAAGCUAUGUUAGCAAAAGUAAACUUACAUUGUCCAUGUACCACUUAUGCAUAUUUGUCAUAUUCGUGAAGUCUUUGGCGGACAUAUGAAUGCAUGGUGUAUUCUUCUGGACCUUCGUCUUGUCAUUCAUGAUUUCUUGCAGUUCCUUCUUCUUUUCGUAGCCAAGUACCACGUAUAUGUCCAACUUCUUCAGCGGCCCCUGAAAUUUAUGUUGAAAAGAAUAGUUAAUGUUGAAUGUUUUGCCUUUUCACCUUAUUCUUUGAUUAUUUUGGAUAAAGUUUAGAUCUUUGCUAGAAAAACAUAAUCACGUCUUGUUUAAACUCAUUAUUGUUGAAUAUGUUUACUUUUAGCAUUUAAAGUUAUUUUCUUUAUAUUGAAAAGAAUAGUUAAUAUUGAUUGUUUUGCCUUUUGACCUUAUUCUUUGAUUAUUUUGGAUAAAGUUUAGAUCUUUGCUAGAAAAACAUAAUCACGUCUUGUUUAAACUCAUUAUUGUUGAAUAUGUUUACUUUUAGCAUUUAAAGUUAUUUUCUUUAUGUUGAAAAGAAUGGUUAAUAUUGAUUGUUUUGCUUUUUGACUUUAUUCUUUGAUUAUCAUAUAUAAAGUUUUGAUCUUUGCUCAAAAGACAAACUCAUGUCUUGUUUAAAUUUAUUGUUGGCAGAUAUGUUUGUUUUAGCUGUAAAGUUGUUUCUUUUAUGUUGAAAAAAUAGCUACUAUUGUUUGUUUCGCCUUAAUAAAAAUAGUAAUUGAUUAAAUCAAGAAUUUUUCAUUUACUUGUUAAUUAUUUUAAGGGAUCUCAAAAAUCUUCAUAUAAGAGAUGAAGUGCUAGAUUUAUUUUUCAUCCACGAUGUUUAUUCCUCUUUUUCGCAUGUUUUCAAAUUUGUCAAAAUAAUGAGAAAGUUCGAAUUUUUGUGGUUAACUAGAAUUAUUUAGAUAUUUUUGAGUCAUGCAUAGUAUGAUUGUAAAACAAUAUUUCACUUUUAGAAAUGCUAAACUUUAUUCUAAUUUUCGUGUGCCCUUUGGAUUGUUAUAUGUGCUCUAUGUUUGUUCAAUUUUAGAAGUCAUGAGUAUUUUUCUUGUUUCCUCAUCCCUUACUUUCUCAAGCAUACGUUGUUUGUUUCUUGCAUUAAUUCAUUGAAUAUAGCCUUCUUUCUUUUACCUUUAUUCAUUGUUGUAUGAACAUAAAUCAUGAGGCAUGUAAGUGGGUGUCUUUGCUUUGCAUUUUAUUUGUUGACUCUCAUUCUUGUGCAAGUGUGCUUAUCAUUGCCAUUCAAAAUUGGUUCUUGAUAUUUUUUUUUGCUUUGAAAUAAGUCAUUUUUACGCCUUGAACAUAUAUUAAUUUCUUUAUCUUUUCUUUGCAUGCAAAAAAAAAAUGUCUCAAAUCCGGAUUCCUCUCCUCUUGUAUUUCGUAAUGGGCCAAUGAGGUCUACCCCUUCGAGUCAAGUUCGAAAUUUAAACUCGAGGUCCACUACAUGUCUUGCUGGUGCUAGAAGAUAGAAAAAGGAAAAUGGAUCAAAACCCAUUGAUGAGGUCAUUAAGAAACUUGAAAAGUCUCAAUUUUUAUUAUUGUCUUCUUUUUAUUUAUUCAUUUAGUCAUUUAUUUAUUCAUUCAUUCCGGCCUCGAAACCAAAGUUGUAUUUAAUAUAGGUGGAGCAAGACUCGAGCCAAAGGCUCAAAAAAUAGUUUAGGACAGGUGAAAUGGGUCGGAAGCCGAACUAGACUAGGACAGGUCUCGUUGAUUUGGGCUCAAUGGCCUAAAUCCUUUACUUUCUCCUCCCUUCCCCUUUUAUGUGUUUAUUUAUUUAUUAGUUUUGUUUAGACUUAGUUAAAAUCCUUACUAAGUCGUCUAAAUCUAUUUUACACAUGUCUUUUUAUAAAAAAAUAAAAAAUCAAAUCACUAUUUCAACAAAUUAAUCUUUUCAGAAGUUAAUCAAAAGAUGUUUUCAAACAGUCUAGAUAACCACAAGUUAGCGGACGUUUUAGGUGCCUAACACCUUCCUAAAACAUUAAUAGGAACCGCUUAUCUAGAAUCUCUAACUUAAAAUAAUUUUUCUAUUUUGAAUCGUUUGAAGCAAUUCUCUAAAGCUUUCUUAAUUCCUUUUCAAAAUUAAGUGGCAACUCUUCUCAAAAAGUCAAAAUUUCUCCGUAAAACAGACAUACCUGACAAUUUUUAGAAUGUUCCUACAAGUUUGGUAUGUCCUUGACAAUAUUCAGCCUUUGCAUUUGAAGUAGUCCACAAUAAUGAAAGUGCCCGAGUCUUUUCUGCUAGAUUUCAGUGACACUUUCUUUGGAUUGAAAAGCCAUGUGCUCCUCCUCCAUUGGAUUUAGAGCAAAGCUUUUUCCUUUCAUUUUACUUUAAACAUGUCUUUGCCGUCAACAUCUUUAAUUAAGCAUUGUUUAUUUUCAAAUAUCACUUUAUAGCCUUUCUCCAACAAUUGACCAACACUCAACAGAUUUUGAUCAAUCUUUGGUACAAAGAGAUCUGCAAUAAUUUUUGUACCUUCAUAGCUUGAAAUAGCUACAUUUCCUUUUCUUUUCACAUCCAGAUGUUCACCAUUUCCAAACCUCACCCUCUUAAUCUCGAUGGUUCUUAACUCCUUGAAGAGUUCUCUAUCGUGAGUCAUGUGGUUGGUACAACCACUAUCUAGUAGCCAGUGUUCACUUGUGUCGGUACUUGAGAAGCAUGUGGCCACAAAGAGUUGAUCUUCCUCCUCUUGAUCAACAACUUUUGCAUCUUCUUUUGUUGUUGAGGCUUAACUCUACAGAUCACAGCUUCAUGACCAAGUUGGCUGCACUUAGUGCACUUAGCAUCAGGUCUUCUCCAGCAUUUGAAAGGUGGAUGGCCUUUCUUCCCACAGUGUUGGUAGGGUGGAAAUGCCUUCUUCGAGCCUCCUCCUUUGCCCUUCUGAUUAUUGUUGAAUGAACUUUCUCUAUUUUCUGACUGAUUCUUAAAGUUCCUCUUCAUUGUAUUCUUGUCGUUGUCUUGAUUUUUGGCUGGUAAGGCUCCUUCUACUGCUCCAUCCCAUCUCAUGGCUCUCCUUUGCUCUUGUGCUUGCAAGACAUUUAAGAGCUCUUUAAGGGAAAUUUUUUACAGAUCCUUUGUGUUCUCCAGGGUUGUUAUAGUGGCUUCAAACCUUUCUGGCACUGUUACAAGUAGUUUCUCCACAAUUCUUAAAUCUGUUAACUUGGAUCCAAGCAACAUCACCUUGUUGGCAAUGCUUAAAAGUCUAUCCCAGUACUUUUUUACUGAUUUUGACUCCUUCAUUCUCGGCAAUUCAAAAUCCCUAAUAAGAUUCAACACUUGCAUUCCACGAAUCCUUUCAUCGCCUACAUACUCUGUCUUGAGAUAAUCCCAGAUUGCUUUUGCUGACUUCAAGGACAUUAUUCGUGUGAAAAUCAUAGGAGAUACUGCUGCAAAUAAACAUGUUUUUUCCUUUGAUUUCUUUGUCUUCUUCUCCUUCUGCGAUUUCAUUUGUGCUAUAGUGGGGUUUGUUGGAAGUGGCUGAACUUCAUAGUCUUCCUCCACUGGUUCCCACAGAUCCAAUGCUUCCAGGUAGGUCUCCAUUUUUACGGCCCACAUUUGAUAGUUGUCUCUAUCAAAGAAUGGUGGUGCCAUUGCUAAAAAAUUGGACUCUCCUUUCAUUGAUGCACUCAAAUAGCCUCACACAUCCCUCAAGAAGAUUGUUUUGAUACCAAUUUGUUGGUGUUUUUGCAGUAAAACCAAGUUGGAUGAGAAGAAAAAAAAGAUAACACACACUAUUGAUGCUGAAGAGAGUAGUUCCUUCAGUUUUUCAGAAUUACAUUUAAAGACCUAAAAACCAACUAAGAUCCUAAAAUCUAGCAACAAACACUAAAUGCUGAGUUAUAGAAUAACUAAAUCCUUAAAACUAGGAAACUACUUUGUAACAUUCAAGCAAUAAAUAAAACAAGUGGUAGCUUUCAAACAUGUGCAUUAACAAUCUUUUCAAAAUAAAUCAAGGAUAGCAAAACAAAAGAUAAUCAAUUUGAACUCAUUAGCAUAUCAAAGUAGAACAUAUCAGUUAUAAUCAUCUCAAGCAGGUUAUCCGUCUCUCAGCUGAAAUCUGAUAAGCUUGAUACAUAUUUCAACUAAUAGAGAUUCUCCAACCGAAGUGACAAGCAGAGAAAAUUACUCAACAUUUCAUGUUGUCCUUGAUUUCUAACUCCUUGACUAUGUAAAAAACAAAAUUCACAGAAAGAUUUCUAACCUUGCAUUAUGCCAUGGUUCUUUUUUACAACUUCACCCCUUUUUUGUCUUUAGCAAAAUCCACUACCUCAAAGUUGGUAAAGUCUUUGCGUGCAAGGCUACUACCUUGUUGGAGAUAUAACCCUUCAACAAAAUAAAAUAUAUUCCAAGCUUGUAAUGCUUUGCUAGAGAAUAAGUAUUGAACAUCUGUUGAGAAAACCUGGUAUUUAUCAUAUGUUGUUGCAUUCAUUGUCUGAACCAAUUUCUUAAAUUCCCUGUCAAGUUACACACUUUCAACUGUCAAGAAAUAACCAAUCCAUAAAUAACUUAGUAAUCACCUCAAGUCAGUAGUGUCGCUCAUGUAGAUACUCCUAUUAAUACAAGAUCUUUCAUGUAUCUGCCAUCGGGCCAUGUCCUCCCGUAUGUAAGUUGCGAGCUCCAUAGGAUUCACGCUAGAGUAUCCCAGUUCUUGAAAAUCUUUAAGUAUUUCAUCAAGAACAUUUGAGAAUACUUCGAACUAUCAAAAUUGAUUGACUUGAUGGUCUCAAAUUUGUUUUUGGCAAGAAUCCUUAGUUGCACGUAGCACUUCUAUGUUUUCAAACCUUCAAGCAAGCUUAACUGCCACAAGAUAGAUCUAGCUCUUGAUGUGUGAGGGUUACUGACUUGUCUUAAAGGUUAACCAUGACUUCAAUAAGCCCCUAUAUAUAAGGUAUGACACAUCUACUAAUCUGAGAAACACAAGUAUCAUAUGUCUAGACAUCCAUCAUCUAGAUCGGUAUUUUAGAAUUAUCCAACAGGUGCACCCUUCUAACAGUCAUUACAAAGAAUUACCCUUAACCAGUUUAUUAAGCUCGUCCUCAAAUCAGUGCUACCAGUUCGAUAUCAUACCAUGCACUGACCAUGUCUUCUAGAUCAUAUGUUGCAAGCUUUAUAGACCUUUCAUUAGUGCAUCUAAAAGCUCAAAAUGCCUCAAGUAGCUCAUCCAAGAACCUUUCCGGUCCUUAGUAUUAUCAGAACUAUUUAUCUUAAAAUUUUCAAUUUAGGAACUCUAUAAAGAAUAUAUAUCUAUAUUCAUGUCCAUCCUAGUCAAUAUCAGUGACAGAUACCUUUAGAGCCUUAUUAUAUUACCCUUUUUUAUUUCAACUGUCCAUACUUUAUAUCAAUCAAGCUGUCAAGUGUCCAGAAUUAUAGAACAUUCAUAGGAAUAUGAUGGUAAAUGGGCACUUCCUUUUGGAAUGGGCUCUAAAAAUAUCUUAUAGUGGUACAAAUGCCCCUCAAUCGGAAUGACAACUCUUUCCUUAGCCUUGUGUUAUCUCUACCUUCACCAUUUGUUAAGGUAAUAGUUGCCUUCAGAGGCAACACUUUAUGCACAUUAAACUACAUUCUACCUCUACUAAAGGAUGAUUAAUUCGAAGAAGAUGAAACCAAGAUAUGUAGUGCCAGAUACUAUUAUUUGAUCCAAAUUGUUACACAUAAGGAAUAAAACAAAAGAAAUACAGACACAUCCUAUCAUGUCCUCGCAGAAUCACAGUUAUAGAAAUGGUUGGCAAUAUAACCAUAGUUGGAAUUCUACUACCAACAUGUGUAAUAUUAGUCACAUAAAUAACCUAACCUAGCUUUGAUACCAACUUUGUCACGACCCAAAAUAGGAUCAUGAUCGGUGUUAAGGAGGUUAGGACUCCAAAGCAAGCCUCAUCAGAAUUCUACAUAAAAUCGGACAAAGUUUCCUUUGUUUUGGGGCCUAACAAGAAAAUUACCUGGCUCAAAUCCACAGCAUAAUAAUCCAACAUCACAACCAACGCACCAACACAACACAAUUCACCAAAAUCAUCAACAAUGCACCAAUACCACCAAAUAACAAUAUGAAAUCUAUCUCUAAAAAUAAGAGGAGGUCAAAUACUUCACAAAAUUAAAAUAAUAGAAGAAUACUCAAACUCUAAAGAAGUGACUAUGGAGCGACUCUAAGAGUUUCAAGAAAAAGAACAUAACAAUUAAAUAAACUGUUGCCCACGCGAACAAAUGCAGGGCUCGCCAUGAAUAUCCAACUCGAAUACUCUACCUACCAAAAUCCUUACUAACGUCACCUGCGUUCUUUGUAAAAAAAUAGUGAGGAGUGAGACAUUAGCUCAAUGAGUAAUAACACUUAACUACAACCGUUUUAAUAGGAUAAGUCAUAAAACAUCAUGAAAUAAAUGCACUUUAAGAAAUAAAAUAACAAUAAGUAGUAUCAUUUGUUUCAUGUAAGCAAAAUGAUCCAAUAGUUAAGGGAUAAACUCAAUAAGCAUUAUAUCAUAUCAAAUAUUACAUAUUUGGGAGGUUUCCAUGAAUGAAUCACGUAAUCAAUGUGGUAUUCCACUUCAAAAAUAGCCAAUAACAGUGAACCCCUCAUAAAAGAGUCAAAAAUCAUAUCAGUAAGUCCCUACUCGAGGGACAUCAGUAAUAGUAUGCUAGUUCUACCUUCCCACUAGCGAGGGCUGUAACAGUAAUCAGUAACUACAAGGUGCACCAAGUCUAACGAUCCCGCCAUUAGCUAAGGGAUUCAAAUCAAGGUCUACUCUCACUUAUAUUUUCUUUCUAAACAAUAGAUAUUCAUAUGAAAGUAUUUUUCAGAAUAGUCCAUAGCAUUUAAAGUUCAUAUCAAAUCACAUUACUUGUAAACUUGAAUAAAAUACAUGUAAAAAUACUUAUUUCUCAUGUGAGUGAAAAACUUUCAUAACAUCAGUGAUCAUAUCUCAAGUAACGGUAAAUAUGUUUUAUGAACAUCUCAAAUACCCAAUUUCAGUAUCAUAUCGAGAAAAAGACUUGUCCCACAUGCAAUUUCAAAACAUUCAGUAAUUCUUGUUUCAUCAAAAUCAUGUAUAAAAUGGCAAGUUAAGAAACACAAAUCUUGAGAAGGUUACUACUCACAGUACUUCUUGUUAGAAUACCAAACUCAUCACCUCGAGAAAUUAGGAUGAGUUUCUUCGACCAAUCUAUAAUCACAUCAUAUCAACUCCGUAUCAAUUCUCUUAUUUAAGCAAAACUCGUAACUAAUUCAGCACACCCAACGCCCGACUUAGUUUGAGUCUCAAUUAGUCAAAUUAUAUUUAUUCAUGCUAGUAGUAACUCAAUUAGUCCACAAUUUCUCAAUUUCAGCUUAUUCAUCCAAUUCUUUACCCAAAAAUCUAAUUUUCCUGGCCUAACAUAGAGCAAAAUAACUUUACUGUUAAUCAUACUUUUCUAUGGAAUUCAAUUUCUAAUAACCAAUAGAAAUCUCAAGUCUCCAAUAACAAAACAUACAAAUUAGAAGAAAACUCAACAUUUAAAGUUCCGGAAAUACCCGAAAUAGUUGUAGCAGCUUAUGAUUUCUUGAUAUUGUAAAUAUGGUUCCACGAAAGCUCAACUACUGCUCCAUACUAGCAUACCCAUGAAUAAUCAUAGAUUAAAAAUACCAGAACUAUUGGGAGAAGUAAUACUAAGUUCACCAAAGUUUUUCUGUUUCCCCAACUUGGCAGAACUCUUGCAAACGUAUUGUUAUAAAUUUCUUGUUCUCAUUGAGUCUCUUAUCCGGUUUUUUUUCCUCAACACAGAUUUU